AGCGAACGCUGGCGGCAGGCCUAACACACGCAAGUCGAACGAAGUCUUCGGACUUAGUGGCGGACGGGUGAGUAACACGUGGGAACGUACCUUUUGGUUCGGAACAACUCAGGGAAACUUGAGCUAAUACCGGAUGAGCCCUUAGGGGGAAAGAUUUAUCGCCGAAAGAGCGGCCCGCGUUAGAUUAGCUAGUUGGUGAGGUAAAGGCUCACCAAGGCUACGAUCUAUAGCUGGUCUGAGAGGAUGAUCAGCCACACUGGGACUGAGACACGGCCCAGACUCCUACGGGAGGCAGCAGUGGGGAAUCUUGCGCAAUGGGCGAAAGCCUGACGCAGCCAUGCCGCGUGAAUGAUGAAGGUCUUAGGAUUGUAAAAUUCUUUACCAGGGACGAUAAUGACGGUACCUGGAGAAAAAGCCCCGGCUAACUUCGUGCCAGCAGCCGCCGUAACAC
rnacentral:rRNA from 1 species